UAAUUUGUUUUGUAGCAGAUUCUCAUCUAGUUAGUUAUAAUAUACUCAUACUUCAUUAUUCAGAAUCGUCAGUUAUUGCAAGUCCGAUUAUAUCUUUGAUAUUGAAAAACAGAAAGAACAAUUAUCGUGUAAACAAAAA
rnacentral:pre_miRNA from 13 species